UACGAAGGGGGCUAGCGUUGCUCGGAAUCACUGGGCGUAAAGCGCACGUAGGCGGAUCAUUAAGUCGGGGGUGAAAUCCUGGAGCUCAACUCCAGAACUGCCUUCGAUACUGAAGAUCUCGAGUCCGGGAGAGGUGAGUGGAACUCCGAGUGUAGAGGUGAAAUGCGUUGAUAUCAGGAGGAACACCCAUGGCGAAGGCAGCAUACUGGUCGGCAUCUGACGCUGAGGCGCGAAAGCGUGGGUAGCAAACAGG
rnacentral:rRNA from 1 species